rnacentral:rRNA from 1 species
CCUGCCCCGUGCCCGCGGCCCCCCGGGAAUGCGGGCUUUUCCCCCGCCGUGCGCACCGGCGCGCUCAGGGGAUACGCCGCUCUGCCGCAGCCGCUGGUCCGGCCGUGCCGGAGCCGGGGGAGCGCCGUCGUGUGCAACGCGUCGGUGUAGCUCAGCCCGCCCACGACGCAGUGGGUCUCCGUCGCGGCCGCCGCAGUGCUCUUGCUUGCUAAAGGCACAAGCAUACACAAAUCUUUCCUCGUGCCAUUGUUUGGUCUGCGAGCACCUAGCCGUGUAAUCUCAUGGAUCAAGAGAGAAUAUGGGCUGUGGACUGCUUUUCUUGCGCUUGCAGUGCGUUUGUUCUUACCCUUUCCAGAUGAGCUAGAGCUUCCACUGUCAACGAUGCUGGCGGUCAGCAUUGCUCCUUACCAGGUGAUGAAUGUGAGGUAUGUAACAUUCUCACCAGUUUGA